AGUUCAGUUCAGAUGGUGGUUAUGGCUUCUCCAAAGGCAACGCCAACUACGAUGGAAGACCUCCCCAUAGAUAUUUUGAUGCGAAUAUUCGAUAGGUUAUCCCUGAAACUAUUAAUCCAAUUCAGCUGCGCUUCAAAGCGAUGGAGGUCCCUUGUCGUCUCAAAUCCCCAGUUCGCCAAAUCGUACUUCAAGCUGAAAAAACUCUUGCUCGCCACCUCUUCUCAACUCGAAUCCCUAAACUUGGAAAAGUCGUCGUUUGGGGACUAUUCUUCGGUCCGAAAGCUCACCUGCCCAUUCAAGCAACCGGCCUAUGCCGUCAACAUACUGGGCUCAUGCAAUGGUAUGGUGUUUGUUGCAGUCAAUGUUCAUGAUAGCUUUUAUAUCUGGAACCCCUCAACUGGGUUGUGCCGCAAAUUGCCUAACCCAGGUUUUGCCUCGAUUAAUACAGACUUGGACUUAUCAAAAACAAUUUUAUGUCUCCACCAUUGUGGUUUUGGCUAUGUUUCAGCCACUGACGACUACAAAGUUGUUGUAGCCGCUCACAUUAUGAAUUCAACCAUGCCUCUAGAGAUCUUUUCAUCCAGAGCUGGCUCUUGGAGAAGGAUUGUAUGCCCUCCCCACUUUUCCUCAUCGGCCUAUAUGAGUGGAACCAGGGGGACUUUUACUAAUGAGGCGCUCCAUUGGCUCCAAAAACUGCGUGAGCCAGAGCUAGACGCUCCCGGAAACACCAUCACUGCUUUUGAUUUAGCCAAAGAAGAGUUUCGGCAAAUGCCGCUGCCUCUUUUGGGGGAGACGAGUUCAGAUAGGGACUGUUUUUUCAGUGAUAUAGGGAUUGUUUUUGAAGGGUGCCUGUGUGUAUCGAGUUUUAAGAGGCAGAGAUGGGGAGCCGGGCAUCGUAGUCAGUAUGUUCAAUUAUGGGUCAUGAUGGAGUAUGGUGUUUGUGAUUCUUGGACCAAGCUGUUUAGGUUUGAGAUGGACGAUGUUAACCUUAGCCUACCAAUCUGCUGCACAGAAAGAAUGAUAGUUAUGUCGAGAUACAAACGUCGGGAUCUGGAGUUGAUCAGGUUUGAUCAUGAUGAAGAGAAGCUUGACAAUGUUGCGGUUUGUAGUAGUGGUCGAUAUACGCUUAAGAUGGGUCUCUGUGAAAUGAUAGAUUAUGAUGAGACGCUACUUUGGCUUCCUGAUUCUAGGGCUGAGGGAGGUGAUCGAAAAGACUCAAAACCCAACAGAAGCAGAAAUAUUACGGUUGAGGUGGGUGACUGUGACAUGAUAAAAUAUGAUGAGACUCUACUUUGGCUUAAUGAUCAUCUUGGUGUGGAAGAGAAUGUCCAGAGACUUGGAACCCAACACGAAGCCUCAGCAAGCAGGAAUGUGGAGGAAUAAUUGCUAUUCAGAUUCAGGUUACUAACUCGUCAUUUUCACUCUCUUCCUUUUCAAUGCUUGCUCCAUGCAUUCGAAUUUCGAAACAUGAAUUACAUGCCUUCAUUUAUGUCUGGUUACUGAAUUGGUUGCCUAGGUAGAUGUAUGCACAUUGUGGAUGGCAUGAAGAAGAGUUGAAUAUGAUCCAAAUUCAUUAUAGCUCUACGGAGUUUAUUGGUUAAAAGACGCAUUAGUAUCUAUAUCUUGGUCAGCGUAGAAUUAAGUGUUACUGAUACUUUUAGACUCUUAAGAAAUAUUAUACAAUCGAAAAUUCAGGAUGGUUUUAUGGUUUUACCUUUGUUUGUGAUACUGAAUAGUGUUCAUCUUCACAUUUUUCUUCAAUUAUUGUUUCUUCAUUACUACCCUUCCACAGUUUUCAUUCUACAUUUGAUUUCCUGCCUUGACACUUAUACUCACAGUAUUGAUCCCAUACAUGUGCCAAUGAAGCUAUUGGUAUUGUUUCAGCUCACAGUAGUCACUAAUCUGAGUGACGUAUAAAAAUUUCUCCUCUAUAAACUAUUUGCUAUUAGAAAUUUCAGUUUGUCACUCAGGUGGCCACAAAUCCACUUAAACUCUGCUUUCUGUGUUGGCCACUAAAAAGUAGUUACCUAAAAGUGUUUGUAAAUGUUGUAAACCAAAUAGAAAACCAACAUCUAGGGUAAAAUCAAUUUCUUCGUAGUACAAAGAUGUGCAUAUGCAAUGGCUUUGGAAGAUGUUUGUGUAAAAGUGAUGCUAUCUAUAUUGUCUUACCCUUGAUUAAAGCAUUACUGUACUUGAGAUAUUAAAAGUUACCACCAUACCAACAUUACUACACAAGUUGCAUUACCUCUCCAACUUGUGGGCAAGUGCAAGCCUUAACCGUGAAGUUGGAGGGUAAGCUGGUAAAGCAUCGCUGGACUUUGAUAUGCUCAUAGGCUUAAUCGUUUGUUCUUGUUUGCUAUAAACCGCAUAAAGAAAUCAAAAACCAUGUUUUAUAUUUAAAUGUUAAAGAUACUGUUUGAAGUUCUCCUAACUAUGUCUUAUUGUGUGCUUUAGAAUUGGAACAUCUGGAAAUAUACACAUGUCGAUUAAUUCAAUGGAGUUCCCCAUUUCCUUAAGUAUUUGUUCUUUUGUAUCUCAGUGUACUUCAUUACCACAAAACUAGAGGGAAUCAAUACACUUCUUCCUAGUUGGUGAUUGAUAUUUCACUACCAACUUGUGGAGCAGAGGAAGUUGUUGCAUUUUAAGGCAUGCCAAAUGACUACAUGUGUUAUGUGUUGUAACUUGUGAAUGUGAUGCGUAUGUUAAUGCUGUAGUUUGAUCUGUAGGGAUUUUAGAAUGUACAUUUGCGGUCAAUGACAGGAGACUGUUUGUAGUUAUGUGUUGUUAACUUAUGAAGAUGAUGGUUUAUGUUACUUGUGACAAUGUUGUAGUUUUCUUGA